rnacentral:rRNA from 1 species
GUGGGGAAUAUUGCGCAAUGGGGGAAACCCUGACGCAGCAACGCCGCGUGAAGGGUGAAGGCUUUCGGGUUGUAAACUUCUUUGAUGAGGGACGAAAGAAAUGACGGUACCUCAAAAACAAGCCACGGCUAACUACGUGCCAGCAGCCGCGGUAAUACGUAGGUGGCGAGCGUUGUCCGGAAUUACUGGGUGUAAAGGGCGUGUAGGCGGGGAUGCAAGUCAGAUGUGAAAUGCCGGGGCUUAACUCCGGAGCUGCAUCUGAAACUGUGUUUCUUGAGUGUCGGAGAGGAAAGCGGAAUUCCCAGUGUAGCGGUGAAAUGCGUAGAUAUUGGGAGGAACACCAGUGGCGAAGGCGGCUUUCUGGACGAUAACUGACGCUGAGGCGCGAAAGCGUGGGGAGCAAACA